rnacentral:rRNA from 1 species
AGCAGCCGCGGUAAUUCCAGCUCCAAUAGCGUAUAUUAAAGUUGUUGCAGUUAAAAAGCUCGUAGUUGAAUUUCGGGAUCAAUAUAUUGGUCGUGCCUCCGGUACGUACUGGUAUCGUUGAUUUCUACCUUCUGACGAACCAUGAUGUCAUUAAUUUGGUGUCAUGGGAAAUCAGGACUGUUACUUUGAAAAAAUUAGAGUGUUUAAAGCAGGCACACGCUUGAAUACAUUAGCAUGGAAUAAUGAAAUAGGACGUUUGACCCUAUUUUGUUGGUUUCUAGGAUCGACGUAAUGAUUAAUAGGGAUAGUUGGGGGCAUUAGUAUUCAAUUGUCAGAGGUGAAAUUCUUGGAUUUAUUGAAGACUAACUACUGCGAAAGCAUUUGCCAAGGAUGUUUUCAUUAAUCAAGAACGAAAGUUAGGGGAUCGAAGACGAUCAGAUACCGUCGUAGUCUUAACCAUAAACUAUGCCGACUAGGGAUCGGAUGAUGUUAAUUUUUUAAUUGACUCAUUCGGCGUCCC